rnacentral:pre_miRNA from 1 species
AGUCCACUCAUGGAUGAGGCAAGGGUUUGGAUUAGCUGCCGACUCAUUCAUUCAAACACAGUAGAAAGAGGAGCAUUUUGGUUAUCCUAUUGUGAAUGUGUGAAUGAAGCGGGAGAUAAUAUUCAUCCUUUCUUUUCUGUGCUUGGACUG